AAGUGCAAAGUUAUUUUAUUUACGUAUUUUUUCCACAAGAAAUUGUUCAUCUUCUCCCAAGCCGCUCACUAUGAACUCCAAUGCAAACCCUAGACCUCCCCUUCCUCUUAUUUUCUCUUUAUUGUUAUCUUGGUGAGUGAGUAUGUGAGAUAGAACCUUGAUUUCAUCUACUGCCUGGAUUUUCUCCCUGUGACUAAGCGAUUAUGUAGGUUAGAUCGAGAUAAUUGACUUGCUUGCAUAAUGAUUGAACUUGUUGGGUUUGUUCUUGAGAAGAAGUAUUUGGAGUUUUUGUGAUGGUGGAUAUCCUAUAGCAACAAGGCGAUACUUUAAAUGGAUGGGAGAGAUUGCAGAAGAGAUCAAAGAUUUGUAAUUGAAAGAACCUUGAAGAAACUGCAGAGAAAAUGUAUGUGACUGGAAAAGUUUAAAGAAGUUGAAGCACAAGAGAAAUAUAUUUUCUAUCUUUUUUAGGAGUUUGAUAAUAUUAUCAUGUGUAUAUGUGACAUAAUAUUCUCAUAAUGUAGGAUGUAGACUAUUAUAAUGGCAUACACCUGUUUAUAGUAAUGCUUAUUCUUUGUAAUUAAAUUUUGGUAGUUCAUAUAUGACUCAAAUCAUGAAUGAUAAUUAUUAAGUUUUUGUA